rnacentral:RNase_P_RNA from 1 species
UGGGUCGGCUGGACGGUCGCGUCGCGGGCGGUUCGCCGCACCGCGCCGAGGAACGUCCGGGCUCCACAGGGCAGGGCGGUGGGUAACACCCACCCGGAGUGAUCCGCGAGACAGUGCCACAGAGAACAGACCGCCGGGAUCCGUCCCGGUAAGGGUGAAACGGCGGUGUAAGAGACCACCGGGGGUCAUGGCGACAUGACCCGCCAGGUAAACCUCGCCCGGAGCAAGACCAGACAGAGGAUGUUGACGCGGCCCGCCGAGUCCUCGGGUAGGUCGCUGGAGCGGCACGGCAACGUGUCGCCGAGAGAGAUGGCCGUCGAUGGGGCGCGAGCCCCGGGACAGAACCCGGCGUACAGGCCGGCCCAUUCG